AGCCUUGCGCAGUGGCAGUAUCGCAGCCAGUGAGGUUUAUCCGAGGCGUAGUUAUUGCUAACUAAAUUUAAGCCAUAUGACUAGUGGCUACCUUUUGGGAUAGUGCAGUAUCAGACCAUGCUCGAGGGAACCCAAUUCUGUAGAAU
ensembl:snRNA U4 U4 spliceosomal RNA